rnacentral:lncRNA from 1 species
UACCACAUAUGACAAUAGAUCAACAAUUACAUCGAGUACUGAACAACGGAAUUUAAUAAUCUAAAGACACAGAUUUCAAGCAGUAGUCAACGAAAUUUAAUAAUCUAACAGCAAAAACUAAGAAAUUUUAGCUUCAACUCCAUUAAGUACUGAACUUCUCUAUGUAUAUCUUUGAGCUUUGCCAUGAACUCCAAGUCUCUAUCUCCGCACUCUAUAUUACUGACAACAUAGAGGUCACAUACGGUAGUUGAAGGCAUCACCAUCAGGUUUCUGGACACUUGGUCUCUCGUAAACAAACCAAGAUGCAGUCCAUCAAAACACCUCUUCAGCUCUUGAAGAGUCGCCCUAUCCUCAUAUACUUGAUCCUCAACUUGCUUGAUAAAACGAUACUUUAAAUCAUCAGAAUCUACAGAAGGGUAUGAUGACAUUUUUAACUUCUAAAUUUCUUCAAUCUGAUGUAAAAGAAGGAUAUUAUGUUAGUAAAACGUGAUGAAAAACAACUGAUCUGACAAUCAUAUUAUAUAGUGAAAUAGCUAACAGCCCAAAGGUCAGACUUAAUUUCACCGCACCAUUAAACUAAUAUAGGAGGCAAAAACGUGUACAUUUAAUAUAAACAUAUAAAUUCAUAUAUUUCAAAACAGCAGCCAUUUAAUGCAAUGCCUUUCAAAAAUAAGUUUUCAUGGGAAAACUAAAAAGUUAA